GGGGCUGAAUUUAAGCUCGACGUUGGACUUUAUUAGUUAGAGAAGCAGGUCGCUUGCUGAGCGUUAUACGGCAAAUUGAAUAAAUGCAAAAACAUUUACUCAGCGACUAGCUAGCGCAUUUUCAAUGCCUAAGCUAGAUUUCGCACUAGCUGCCUAAUUAUUAGACAGCCGUCACUAAAGCGACGCCAGAUAGUUUUAAAUGACGCCAUAUUUAUCUGGAUGCUCACAUACUCUUGAUCUGUAGUAUGUGCUAAGAUUUUGGAUCUGCGGACUAUGAUUUUUUGGUUAUUUAUCGGUCAUUGUCUCAAGUCAACCCAAAUGACAUAAACCUGUAGAUGCUCUAACAAAAAUAAACUAGCGGACGUGGGGGCAGUACCCACCAGCUCCACCA
rnacentral:tmRNA from 1 species